GACGAACCGAGCGAACGUUGUUCGGAAUCACUGGGCUUAAAGGGCGCGUAGGCGGGUGCUCAAGUCCGGGGUGAAAUCCCACGGCUCAACCGUGGAACUGCCUCGGAUACUGGCGGCCUCGAGGGAGGUAGGGGCGUGCGGAACUGUGGGUGGAGCGGUGAAAUGCGUUGAUAUCCACAGGAACUCCGGUGGCGAAAGCGGCGCGCUGGACCUCUUCUGACGCUGAGGCGCGAAAGCUAGGGGAGCAAACGGG
rnacentral:rRNA from 1 species